GACAGAGGGUGCAAACGUUGUUCGGAUUUACUGGGCGUAAAGCGCGUGUAGGCGGCUUUGCAAGUCGGAUGUGAAAGCCCACGGCUCAACCGUGGAAGUGCAUCCGAAACUGCAUGGCUGGAGUCUCGGAGAGGAAGGUGGAAUGCUUGGUGUAGAGGUGAAAUUCGUAGAUAUCAAGCAGAACACCGAUGGCGAAGGCAGCCCCCUGGGUCAAAACUGACGCUCAUGCACGAAAGCGUGGGGAGCAAACAGG
rnacentral:rRNA from 1 species